rnacentral:rRNA from 1 species
UACAUGGGGUGCAAACGUUGCUCGGAAUUAUUGGGCGUAAAGCGCACGUAGGCGGUUUGUUAAGUCGGAUGUGAAAUCCCUCGGCUCAACUGAGGAAGUGCAUCCGAAACUGGCAGGCUUGAGUACUAAAGAGGGUCGCGGAAUUCCCGGUGUAGAGGUGAAAUUCGUAGAUAUCGGGAGGAACACCGGGUGGCGAAGGCGGCGACCUGGGUAGAUACUGACGCUGAGGUGCGAAAGCGUGGGGAGCAAACAGGG